CUUCCGAUCGCGUUGUUACAUGGACCUGCGAGGCCACGUUGCCCCAUUUACAGUUUAUUUCCGACUAAAAUUGACAGGCAUGAAAACAAUAAUCUUCUUAAAAUAAAAGCACAACGGCAACGUCGCCAAACCCUCCGUCCACUAUCGUUAAUGAGCAACGGGGGGCUAGUUAAUAAACAAUAAGGGUCCGGCUGCGCCCCACGUGACCCCACCCCUCAUCCCACGCCCACUCUGGGCGUCUUCAGAACAAUCGAAGGCGACGACACCUGUCAGCCGUCUAUCAUCCGUGGCAGCGUUACGUCACAAGAUCGCGAAUACUAGCCGGCUAACAGAAACACCGCGGAGGUGUAGAAAACGCGAACGAUUAAAACGGGUGCGAGUGAGAUGGAGCGAGGAGCUUGGGAACGCGUUAGGGAGGUAUUGUUGCAUAGUUAACGUUAACAUUACCGUAUCGGUUUAAGUUCGUCCAAAAUGGUGUGCUAAAAAUGUCAACGUUGUGACAAUUGUCAGUGGGUAUCGUAGCUAUAGCGCCAUCUAUUUGCCGUGUAGCUUAAUAAGAGGUUAUUAGCUCAAUAAUUGUGGAAAAAGGGGCGGAGUUCAGAGGGGGUACACUCUUGGACGCUGGCAAUAACUUUAAAUUCAUACUAAAUAAAUGAAAGCAAAUUAACUGGUUCUAGGAAUUUUGUUACAUUAUCAAAGUCGUGCGGCAACAUUGCAUAUACUUAAACGAACUGACAAUUGACACUAAUGACAGGCAUAUGUUAGGUUAUGUUACAUUGUUUUGGUGCUUUUUAGUUGUUUUGAAGAAAAAGACGCAUAUUUUGAUUAAACUAUGAGUUUUCGUAAAGAUAUUCUUAUUUUUUAAAUUAUUUGCAUCCCGGACAAGGGAAAAAAUGCAAAUUAACGGAUUAUCCUCUAGAUUAACCAAGUUUUUACUGAAAACUGCACCCUAGUAGUACCCCUUUACCUGUCAGGUAUUUUUUUUUCAUGUUUUCUUGUCAGUUGUCAGCUUGAGGAACCAACAUCCCUCCAAGCGUUUAGGCCCCAAAAGUCAAAAUUUCAGCGUUUUAACACAACAAUGCAGAAUAUACACCGCCCAUUGAGGUUUGUGCCGCAAUACAGCAGAUUUCUAUCAAGUAAACCUCAAUUAAAAGCUGUAUGUGCUGUUGACAAAAAUAAACAGGUGAUUACCAAUAAUGGAGAUUUGGCAAAGAUUCUGAAGGCUCGUGCAGGUUCGAAGCAGUAUGAGCCUUGUAUAGUUAGGAAUAGCGGUAUUAUGUGUAGUGCCAAAACCCCCUCGAGAAAAGUUGACGAGGAGUCCAUCGUAUUUAAGCAGUACAGGCUCCUGGAGACUUUGAAAGGUAAACUGAGUGAAGAAAAUGCCUUAAGGCAAGCAGAAAUUAGGAGACAACGCGAGGCAAUAAAUGAAAAUUUGAAACUUUGUGCAGAAAUUGACACAAAACUGCAGACAUUCUUUUGAAAACAAGAACAAAAUGGGCAGCAUUGUCUAGGUUCUUGUACUUAAAUAAUUAAAAAAAGAAAUAAAACACAUUAUAAUUUGCAUUAAA